rnacentral:sRNA from 1 species
CCCUAGCCCUGAUUGCAGUGAAAAUCCUUUUUUUCUGUCCUUUUUUAGGACAUAAAAAAAGAUUGAAACGGAAAGCAGGAUAAAGC